rnacentral:rRNA from 1 species
AGCGAACGCUGGCGGCAGGCCUAACACAUGCAAGUCGAACGAACUCUUCGGAGUUAGUGGCGGACGGGUGAGUAACACGUGGGAACGUGCCUUUUGGUUCGGAAUAACUCAGGGAAACUUGUGCUAAUACCGAAUGUGCCCUUCGGGGGAAAGAUUUAUCGCCAUUAGAGCGGCCCGCGUCUGAUUAGCUAGUUGGUGAGGUAACGGCUCACCAAGGCGACGAUCAGUAGCUGGUCUGAGAGGAUGACCAGCCACACUGGGACUGAGACACGGCCCAGACUCCUGGGGGAGGGGGGAGAGGGUAAUCUAGCCAAGCGGCGUAAGUCCAGACGGACCUAUGCCCGGAAAGUGAUGAAGGCCGGAGAGAAAAAAAAUUCUUUAACCGGGUCCGAUAAUGACGGUACCUGAAGAAGAAGCCCCGGCUAACUUCGUG